GACUCCGUGCUGCCAACGGUCGUGGUGGGGGUAGUUCGAGGCGGCGUGAAGUAGAACGAGUAGUGACAUCACUGCAUGGAAGGGAAGGGAGGACAUAAAGCAGGCCAAGAAAAGCAGUGCGUGGACACUGGGAAGCAAACAAGCAGCUUGUGUCAGCAUCUAGAAAUACCUGCUACCGUGUACACGUAUUGAAGAAAUUAAAGCUUUCUUUGGACAGUUACUUGUUUCAAUCGUGGCCAUGCAAUUGAAAAUAGAAUCCGUUGGGAUUCCACCGUAUCUGUGACACUACACUGCAACGUUGAAGUAAACUUCAUAGUACUUCUUCUAGCGAUAUAAAGGAAAUUUCAAGCAUACCAAAAGAAUGUUAUGCCAGUCAAACAGGAAAAAAAGAAAUCUCAAGUGCUGGAGUUAAGAGACCUUCCUGAAAAUUUCAUAGGUGGGAGUGUGAAAGCAGUCGCUGAUGGUGCAUUAAUCGGUGCCAGAUGGCACAGCUGGACAAUGUACUGCAACUGUUCUCUGCAUCCUGAAGUUGCCUAUUGAGCAAAGACCUCUAGCAGCACUGUCUUCUUUCUGUAAGGCUGUAUGAUUCAGAGAGAUAUCAAAUGAGAAGGCUGAAGGGCCUUCAUAUUGCUACUGGCAGUUCAAGUAACCAGACCUAUUUUUCUCUCCAAUGCUUCAAGUUUUCUUGGAUGAAAACUCCUUAGAUUUUUCUUUCAGUGUUAAAUAUUUAGCUUCCAAGUGUCUCAGCAGUGUCAAAAGUUUCAUGCUCAACAGGUGGUGGUUUCAGAGUAUUGUAUACACUGUGCCUUCGG
rnacentral:lncRNA from 1 species